UACGGAGGGGGCGAGCGUUACUCGGAAUUAUUGGGCGUAAAGGGCGCGUAGGCGGCUUGACAAGUCAAAGGUGAAAUCCCUCGGCUCAACUGAGGAACUGCCUUUGAAACUGUCUGGCUUGAGGCCGGGAGGGGGUAGCGGAAUUCCCAGUGUAGCGGUGAAAUGCGUAGAUAUUGGGAGGAACACCAGUGGCGAAGGCGGCUACCUGGACCGGUACUGACGCUGAUGCGCGAAAGCGUGGGUAGCAAACAGG
rnacentral:rRNA from 1 species